rnacentral:lncRNA from 1 species
AAUAAGUUACCACUGCAAUAAAAUAGUAACAAGUACAACAAGGUUUCACAUGCCCACAACAAGAUAAAAGUACAGAAAAAUAUAGCAUUGCAUAUUCACUAAAGUGGAAAAACAUGAACCAAACUCCAUUGAUUCCUCUGCACUAUGCCACUUUCAUCAACAAUAUCAGUUCAAAAAAUCCUAAUUCAACCCAUAUAAAAUCAAUGGUAUGCAAAAACAGGGAGGAG